rnacentral:misc_RNA from 1 species
CAUCAGAAGAAUUUUCAUGUCAUUCAUAGAAAUUAUCAGAAGCCCUAUGUCCCGUUGAGGCAAUUUUUGUGCACAAUGGGCCAAAUAUAAGCGGCAAUAAAAUGAUGCUAGUGGAUCUGCAAUGCCUCUUGCCAUCAUAACUAGUCGUGGAAGAUUAUUGGCAGGUUGUUCCGAAAGGAAACGCCAGCAAUGGUAUAUGGCCAGCUCCAAGUAUAUGCGUGGUAGUAGCUCGCGGAUGGAACCAACUUUGCAAAACCAGUUAUAGCAG